UGCCUUUCGACUAAUAAUUAAAGGUAACUCCUGCCCAGUGAAAAUUUUCAACGGCCGCGGUACCCUAACCGUGCAAAGGUAGCAUAAUCACUUGUCUAUUAAUUGUAGACUAGAAUGAAUGGAUAAACGAAAUAAGCUCUGUCUUUUCUAGUUUUAUAAAAAUUAUACUUUAAAUGAAGAUAUUUAAAUAAUAGUGAAGGACAAGAAGACCCUAUAGAGCUUUAUUUUAAGGAAGGUGUAUCUCUUCUUAAGAAAUUCGGUUGGGGCGACCAAGGGAUAAAAAUCACCCUAUAUUAUUCAGAUAUAUUAAUCUUACAAAUGACCCUUUUAAGAUCUCGAGAACAAGCUACCUUAGGGAUAACAGGCUAAUCUCUCUAAAGAGUUCUUAUCUACAGUGAGGGUUGGCACCUCGAUGUUGGCUUAGGGUAUCUAUGUGGCGCAAAAGUCACAAAAAGAUGGUUUGUUCAACCUUUAAUUCCCU
rnacentral:rRNA from 1 species